GGGGGUGAUCGGUUUCGACGGUGAUCGUCGAGCCAGGAGAAGCGGGCCGAGGACGCACGGUUAUCUCGUAAACGAUCCGUGCAAACCCAUAGGUGCCAAUACAUCGCGCACCGACUUCGAACUCGCCGCCUGAGCUAGUUACGAAGUCCGUCAGCCCGAGAGUGCUCUCGACUCGGUAGCUGGCGUCAUCUAGAGAGCCACUGCUCCCAGCAUUCGUCGUCGGUGCUGGGGGGACUCUUAGACGACUGAGCCCGCUCGCGACAUGCUUGCUAGAUCGCGAGGGCUGAGAAAAAGCGCAGCAAGCUGCGCCCGGAGAAGUCCUGGUUUUUCGUCAUCGGACGCGGGUUCGAUUCCCGCCACCUCCACUG
rfam:Cellulomonas cellasea DSM 20118 contig4, whole genome shotgun sequence.